CCUACGGGUGGCAGCAGUGGGGAAUAUUGGACAAUGGGGGCAACCCUGAUCCAGCCAUGCCGCGUGUGUGAAGAAGGCCCUCGGGUUGUAAAGCACUUUCAGUGAGGAAGAACGCCUGGUGGUUAAUACCCAUCAGGAAAGACAUCACUCACAGAAGAAGCACCGGCUAACUCCGUGCCAGCAGCCGCGGUAAUACGGAGGGUGCGAGCGUUAAUCGGAAUUACUGGGCGUAAAGCGCGCGUAGGUGGCUUGAUAAGCCGGUUGUGAAAGCCCCGGGCUCAACCUGGGAACGGCAUCCGGAACUGUCAAGCUAGAGUGCAGGAGAGGAAGGUAGAAUUCCCGGUGUAGCGGUGAAAUGCGUAGAGAUCGGGAGGAAUACCAGUGGCGAAGGCGGCCUUCUGGACUGACACUGACACUGAGGUGCGAAAGCGUGGGUAGCUAACAGGAUUAGAUACCCGGGUAGUC
rnacentral:rRNA from 1 species